rfam:Bacteroidetes bacterium GWE2_40_15 gwe2_scaffold_119, whole genome shotgun sequence.
AAGGGAAAAGCCGAAAACCCUUCAAAAAGAGUAGGCA